AAUUGUUUGGCUGACCGCCUAAGCAGCUGCCUUGAAAGCAGCCAAAAGAAGUUAAAUUCUUCUAACAAUUU
rnacentral:tRNA from 1 species